UUUUCUUAGUAGCGGCGAGCGAAAAGAAAUCAGUUCAGCACUAAGUCACUUUGUCUUUAUGGCAAAUGUGAGAUGCAGUGUAUGGAACGUCUACAAUCUAGUAUGAGAAAUUAAUGAUUUAAGUCCUUCUUAAAUGAGGCCAAUUACCCAUAGAGGGUGCCAGGCCCGUAUAACGUUAAUGAUUGCUAGAAGGCGAUUCCAAAGAGUCGUGUUGCUUGAUAGUGCAGCACUAAGUUGGUGGUAAACUCCAUCUAAAACUAAAUAUGACCAUGAGACCGAUAGUAAACAAGUACCGUGAGGGAAAGUUGAAAAGAACUCUGAAUAGAGAGUUAAAUAGUACGUGAAACUGCUUAGAGGUUAAGCCCGAUGAACCUGAAUAUCCGUUAUGGAAAAUUCAUCAUUAAAAUUGUAAUAUCUUUACUUUUUUUUUUUUUUUAACAAAAAGAAAGAAAAUAUUAUAAUGAUAGUGUGCAUUUUUUCCAUAUAAGGACAUUGUAAUCUAUUAACAUAAUAAAAUAUUUAUCAAAAAAUCAUAAACAUAAAGUUUAUUUAAAUUAUUAUGCUUGCAUUUUAACAUAGAAUAAAUGUUAAUGAUUUGAUAAAGUGUUGAUAAAUUUAUCAUAUAUACAAUGCUUUAAUUUUUCGAAAUUAUAUAAUAGCAUAAUUAUCAUUGAUUUUUAUGUUUAUUAUAUGCAUUUGUAUGAUUAACAAUGCGAAAGAUUCAGGAUACCUUCGGGACCCGUCUUGAAACACGGACCAAGGAGUCUAACAUAUAUGCAAGUCAUUGGGAUUUUAUAAACCUAAUGGCAUAAUUAACUUAACUGCUAAUAUAUGGGAUUAGUUUUUAAACUAUUUAUAGUUUAUUAACACAAUCCCGGGGCGUUCUAUAUAGUUAUGUAUAAUAAUAUUUAUAUUAUU
rnacentral:rRNA from 1 species